UACAGGGGGGGCAAGCGUUGUUCGGAAUUACUGGGCGUAAAGAGUGUGUAGGCGGUGCUCUAAGUUCGGUGUGAAAUCUCCUGGCUCAACUGGGAGGGUGCGCCGGAAACUGGAGUGCUUGAGCGUGGGAGAGGAAAGCGGAAUUCCUGGUGUAGCGGUGAAAUGCGUAGAUAUCAGGAGGAACACCUGUGGUGUAGACGGCUUUCUGGACCAUAGCUGACGCUGAGACACGAAAGCGUGGGUAGCAAACAGG
rnacentral:rRNA from 1 species